UACGUAGGGUGCGAGCGUUGUCCGGAAUUAUUGGGCGUAAAGGGCUCGUAGGCGGUUUGUCGCGUCUGCUGUGAAAAUCCAGGGCUUAACCCUGGACCUGCAGUGGGUACGGGCAGACUGGAGUGCGGUAGGGGAGAUCGGAAUUCCUGGUGUAGCGGUGAAAUGCGCAGAUAUCAGGAGGAACACCGGUGGCGAAGGCGGAUCUCUGGGCCGUAACUGACGCUGAGGAGCGAAAGCGUGGGGAGCGAACAGG
rnacentral:rRNA from 1 species